rnacentral:rRNA from 1 species
GACGAACGCUGGCGGCGUGCUUAACACAUGCAAGUCGAACGGAAAGGCCCUGCUUUUGUGGGGGGCUCGAGUGGCGAACGGGUGAGUAACACGUGAGUAACCUGCCCUUGACUUUGGGAUAACUUCAGGAAACUGGGGCUAAUACCGGAUAGGAGCUCCUGCUGCAUGGUGGGGGUUGGAAAGUUUCGGCGGUUGGGGAUGGACUCGCGGCUUAUCAGCUUGUUGGUGGGGUAGUGGCUUACCAAGGCUUUGACGGGUAGCCGGCCUGAGAGGGUGACCGGCCACAUUGGGACUGAGAGACGGCCCAGACGCCUACGUGAGGCAGCAGGGGGGAAUAUUGCACAAUGGGCGGAAGCCUGAUGCAGCAACGCCGCGUGCGGGAUGACGGCCUUCGGGUUGUAAACCGCUUUCGCCUGUGACGAAGCGUGAGUGACGGUAAUGGGUAAAGAAGCACCGGCUAACUACGUG